ACUGCAUGUACACUGGUACAUACCUGUAGUCCCAGCUACUCAGGAGGCUGAGGCGGGAGGACUGCUUAAACCCAGGAGUUAUAAGCUGUAGUGCUGUAUGCCAAUUGAGUGUCCCUACUAAGUUCAGCAUUUCCUGGGAGUGGGGGACCACCAGAUUGCCUAAGGAGGGGUCAACUGUCCCAGAUCAGAAACUCUUUUGCAGAUCAGUAGUGGAAUUGUGCCUAUGAAUAGCCACUACACUCCAGCCUGGGCAACAUAGCAAGACCCCAUCUCUU
ensembl:misc_RNA Metazoa_SRP Metazoan signal recognition particle RNA